UUUCCGUAGGUGAACCUGCGGAAGGAUCAUUCAUAAUCAAGUGUUUUAUGGCACUUUUUAAAAAUCCAUAUCCACCUUGUGUGCAAUGUUAGAUCUCGUCAAUCUUGGCGAGAUUUUUAUACAUCAACUCAUUCUUUAACUAAUUUGUCUGAAAAAUAUUAUGAAUACUUAAUUCAAAAUACAACUUUCAACAACGGAUCUCUUGGCUCUC
rnacentral:misc_RNA from 1 species